AGUGGACGCUGGCGGUAGGCCUAACACAUGCAAGUCGAACGGCAGCACAGUAAGAGCUUGCUCUUACGGGUGGUGAGUGGCGGACGGGUGAGGAAUACAUCGGAAUCUACUUUUUCGUGGGGGAUAACGUAGGGAAACUUACGCUAAUACCGCAUACGACCUACGGGUGAAAGCAGGGGAUCUUCGGACCUUGCGCGAUUGAAUGAGCCGAUGUCGGAUUAGCUAGUUGGCGGGGUAAAGGCCCACCAAGGCGACGAUCCGUAGCUGGUCUGAGAGGAUGAUCAGCCACACUGGAACUGAGACACGGUCCAGACUCCUACGGGAGGCAGCAGUGGGGAAUAUUGGACAAUGGGCGCAAGCCUGAUCCAGCCAUACCGCGUGGGUGAAGAAGGCCUUCGGGUUGUAAAGCCCUUUUGUUGGGAAAGAAAAGCAGCAGGUUAAUACCCCGCUGUUCUGACGGUACCCAAAGAAUAAGCACCGGCUAACUUCGUG
rnacentral:rRNA from 1 species